AGUGCGUACUAGGUUCUUCGGCUUUUCGUCGGUUUUCUUGUUGUGGCCUUUAUUGGUGGCGGCAAGUGGCUGACAAUUUUACUUUGAACAAAUCAGAGUGCUCAAAACAGGCGUUUCGCUUGUAUGUUUUUGCAUGGAAUAAUAGAAUAUGACUUCGGUCUAGUUUUAUUGGUUUUAUUGAUCGUUGUAAUGAUUAAAAGAGACAAACGGGGGCAUUCGUAUUGUUGCGUGAGAGGUGAAAUUCUUGGACCGCAGCAAGACGACCUACAGCGAAAGCAUUUGCCAAGCUUGUCUUCAUUAAUCAAGAACGAAAGUCAGAGGAUCGAAGGUGAUCAGAUACCGCCCUAGUUCUGACCGUAAACGAUGCCAACUAGCGAUUCGCCGGUGGAAUAUUUGCCCUGGCGAGGAGCUUCCCGGAAACGAAAGUCUUCCGGUUCCGGGGGAAGUAUGGUUGCAAAGCUGAAACUUAAAGGAAUUGACGGAAGGGCACCACCAGGAGUGGAGCCUGCGGCUUAAUUUGACUCAACACGGGAAAACUCACCCGGCCCGGACACUAUAAGGAUUGACAGAUUGAUAGCUCUUUCAUGAUUUGGUGGAUGGUGGUGCAUGGCCGUUCUUAGUUCGUGGAGUGAUUUGUCUGGUUUAUUCCGAUAACGAGCGAGACUCUAGCCUACUAAAUAGUUCGCUCAUUGUUUAUUGUGUAGCGGUACUUCCUAGAGGAAUUUUCGG
rnacentral:rRNA from 1 species